ACGUAGGGUCCGAGCGUUGUCCGGAAUUAUUGGGCGUAAAGAGCUCGUAGGCGGUAUGUCGCGUCUGCUGUGAAAGACCGGGGCUUAACUUCGGUUUUGCAGUGGAUACUGGCAGGCUGGAGUACGGUAGAGGAAGGUGGAAUUCCCGGUGUAGCAGUGAAAUGCGUAGAGAUCGGGAGGAACACCAGCGGCGAAGGCGGCCUUCUGGACCAGUACUGACGCUCAUGCACGAAAGCGUGGGGAGCAAACAGGA
rnacentral:rRNA from 1 species